UUCUGGCUCAGGAUGAACGCUAGCGGCAGGCUUAACACAUGCAAGUCGAGGGGCAUCGGGAGUAGCAAUACUGCCGGCGACCGGCGCAAGGGUGCGUAACGCGUGAGCAACAUGCCCGUAUCAGGGGGAUAAUCCAUGGAAACGUGGUCUAAUACCCCAUAGUAAUUAUGUAAGGCAUCUUAUAUAAUUUAAAGCUUUGGUGGAUACGGAUUGGCUCGCGUGACAUUAGCUGGAUGGUAAGGUAACGGCUUACCAUGGCUACGAUGUCUAGGGGUUCUGAGAGGAAGGCCCCCCACACUGGAACUGAGACACGGUCCAGACUCCUACGGGAGGCAGCAGUGAGGAAUAUUGGACAAUGGAUGGAAAUCUGAUCCAGCCAUGCCGCGUGCAAGGAAGACGGCCCUAUGGGUUGUAAACUGCUUUUGUAUGGGAGCAAUAAGGGCUACGUGUAGUCCGAUGAGAGUACCAUACGAAUAAGCACCGGCUAACUCCGUGCCAGCAGCUGC
rnacentral:rRNA from 1 species